GAUGGCAGAGACUUUCCUUUCCAUCUUGUGGUCUGAUGCCAGUAAUUCGAGAAGGCACACCUUUGUGUGUGGAAGAAAUCCACAUCACCACUGUCCCAGAGUCAGACCAUCCUGUACUUGAUCCUGUCUAUACCAUCUACAAGCGGUGUGACCCUAGGCGGGUGACAGGAAUGCAGAGAGAGGGGCUGUCUUCUCCCCUGUGACCCCAUCACCUGCCUCGGGGCAGUAUGCAGCUGGAUCUAUGGACGCCACGAGAGACCAGGGGCCCUAAACCAAGACAUGAUGUGUGCUGGAUUGGCCUGUGGACACUAUUGUGCCAACAAGACCAUCAGAGACUGAGCAAAGGUACUUCGGCAUUCACUGACGAUAUGAUGGGGUGAUAACUGACUCCUCUCAUCCUCACUUUACCCAGAAGGGAAGUGAGGCUCAGUAAUUUAAUCAAGAACACACAGCAUGCCGAGAUGAGAUCAGAAUUUGGGCUGUGUAACCCCAAAGCAGGUAAGACCUAGCAUCUUCAUUAGGAAUGCUGAUGAAUGCAGGCAGGCUUUAAAAGCUGGCUUGUUAGGGAAAGGCAGGAGCUGCUAAAGAAAACAGCUGAAGCAACACAGUGUACUCAUGAUAUCCUGAUCAGCACACACAGACCAUGAACAGCUGACUUCACCCAUGGGACCAGGCAUGGCUUGUGGAACCUUUGGUGUGGCUCUGUCUCCUGCUGGAUGUACUUCUCCCUUUUCACAUUUACAGCCACCACAUUGUCUGGCCCACAAGAAUCCUUGCCAUGUCUCGGGGACAUGCAGUGUCUCACAUCUGCCUGGGUCUCUGCCCAUGUGAAUGUGAAGGGGACAUCAAAGGCUAUAAUUGGACUGGCACGUGGGGGUGACAGACAGUGGGUCUGUGACCCCAGACAGCAUCGCCACCCUGGUACUUAUUGCAGGCCUGUGGACAUCUUAUGGACCUGCUUCAAUUGUUGGACAUGAAAUUUCAGCUGACAGCAAGAAAGGAGAUUCAAACCUGCAGUCCAGGCAAGAGAGAUGGAAGAAAGGGAGCCAAGUAAAUACUGGAUGCAAAAGAGAAGAGGGGAUGACCACAGAGGGUGUCAGGACAGAACCUGCAGGAAUUCAGACAGAGGUACAUGCAUCCCUUACAGUCCUGGAUGAUUUAAACCGGGCCUAGCUGAGAGGGGAGAAAGCUCUGAGGAAGAUGGAAAGCAAAGGACCAGAUGAAGAGAAUGCAGGAAGAAGAAGGGGGAGAGGUUUGGAGUUGGAACUGGGGGGAACAUAUGAAAACAGCACCAAAUGUAUUGCUGAAACUUCAGAGGACAAAGCAUCCUGCAACAACUACAAACAGCCAAACAUUACAAAACCCUGAGGGAGAGAUGAACUCAUUUCAUUACCUUAAAAAAAUUAAGCUAGAGGUUUCAAAUUGGAUGCUGGACCAGUUGUAGCAUCUUUGAAACUCAAAAGUAAGUGGUAAUUCAGAAAAUCAGGAGCAUUUAAAAAUCAGCAGCAGUCACCUAAAAUAUAAGGUUUCUAUUUUGUUUGGUUUUAAACAUCUUUUGAUAAAUUGCUAAGAUUUGUUAUAUAGAACUAUGCAUUCCCUUGUGAUAAAAAUGAGCAGAAGCACAAAGGGGAAGGGGAAGAGAGAGGGUAGGGGAAAGGAAAGAAGGGAAAGAAAUAAAUAUGAGAA